ACAAGGUCUUUGGUUCUCCUUCUGGAGUCAAGCCAUUUGUAAUGGGGAGUACCGAUCCUGAAAUCAUCAGAGAAGUGGAAGAGAUUCUUGACCAAUACCUACUACGGAAGAAGCAGAUAACUAUAUCAAAUGUAGAAUCUGUCCUGCUUGGUUCUAAUGAGGAAGUUGUUUUCAUCAGGAGCGUCUUACUGUUAUUCAUCACCACAGUUCUUUGCCCUUCUACUUACAAUUUUGUAAACCCGAAAUAUAUAUAUGUACUCCCCCGAGGGACAGUGACAUCAUUGAAGUUGGCAAUCUUGACCUUGGAACAUUGUGCCUCAGCCACCUGUGGAACGAGGUUGAUGCUUGGAAAUCUAAGGUUUUUAAAGAUGAAAGCGAUUUCAACAUGAUGCUAUGGAUUAGAGGUUCCUUACCUUUGUUGGCAGUUGUGUACAUGGACUUCUUGGAUUUUGUGCCAAUGUUGGGAAAAUUUAUUAUAGCCCGCCAAGAAUGUCACAUAUAACGAAUGAUGAUUUUUCCCUUGUUCAUAGCUCAGACUGUAACAUGUUGUCAUGGAAAUCAUAUGGUGUCCUUCCACUCAAGGACAUUUCUAUCACUCUAUACAGUGUAGGCCUAGCAAUUGUACCUGCUCUGGAAGCCAAUGCUGGUAAUGAUGUUGUCGAUAUCCCAGCAUUAGCACAUGUACCACCUCUAGAUGAAGCAUUUGUUCAUAAUGUUAUUGAAGAUGAAUCGAUGGAAGAUAUUGGCAAUCAUCAGGAAAUUAUUGGCAUCAGUGAUUCACAAGUGGACUUUGAUAGGAUUGGAUCUUAUAUGAUUGCCAGAAGCCAUGUCUCGUUCUCCGCUUGCAUCCGUUCAUUCUGUUGAGAGCAGGCAUGUACAUGCUGCCCUAGGAUUUUUCAAGUCUGACAAGUAUGGGUUGACCAAAGAACUUUGACUCUAUCAAUGAACAAAGGUGGUUGGAUUCAUCUAUGCCUAAUGGACUGUUUUGGAAUGUUAACUACAACUGACCAGAUUCAUCGGAGAAAAGAAGGGAAAUUUGGCUAGAAUGAAAUUUUAAUUCAUGUAGUUAUAAAAGAAGUCACGAAAUUGCUAAUGGAUCCAAUGUUGAAUUGUUUUUAUCCUGAGUACAAAAGGAUUUUUUGCCUUGACUAUGUUGCCUUCCGAUUGGAAAAUGCAGGACUGGUGCACAUUCCUUGCCCAGUAGAUAAACAAUGGAUACUGAUUGUUGCCAAUUUCAUUGACAAGUCAUUCGACGUACUCAAUCCAGACAACUCAAUUGAAAAAUUCUCAUCAGUAGUAAACACUGUAAUAUUCAACUUCAAGCAAUUGUUUGUGCAAAGUUAUCCUGGUUGUUUCAAAUUCAGCAUACGGGAUUUCAGUGUCAAAUAUGUUCACGUGCCUAAACACAAUUUCAGUACAUUAGAUGGUAUAACGGAGUUGAAGUAAAAUUGUUCUCAAAUGUUGACGUUCAAGCUAUUCGCGAGAAAGUUACAACCCAGUUGGUGAUAAACAUCCAUAACGAGCUACAGGUGCCAUUAGCUAGACAGUUCAUUGCGAAACAUGUUCCACACCUUCUUCAUUAAAUAAAAAGGUUACAUCAUCUGGUAUGUCGAAAAGACCUGAUAAAAUAUCAAAUUUGAUGAAGCAGUUGGAAGUUUGCACAUUCAAGACAGCUUUUUAGUGUAUAUCAGGACCCAUCUAAAUUCUACUAGACUUGUAAUUUAUUCAUUUCUUUGUGAUUUAAAUUUUUCAUCGAAUGCAAAUUCACAGAAAAGUGGAGCUAGCUAUCAGUCCAUUCCACUGAACAAUUCAUAUUUUCUAAGAACUUUCUACUUUGAUUCAA